rnacentral:misc_RNA from 1 species
UUUUGCUCUACCGGAUGUAACUUCAUCCAUGCUCUGCCCUUUCCUCCUAUAUCGCCCGCCAGAUGCUACAAAUCCCGGGCAAGGCCUAUAGGCCUUGAUAGGCCACCAACCAAAGCCAGGCACAGUAGCUAUGCCACCUUGGAUUCUCCCCUCUCCAUUGCAACCUCUCUCAGUUUCCUCUUUUCCACAGGUUUUACAUCCGCUG